rnacentral:rRNA from 1 species
UACGUAGGGGGCAAGCGUUGUCCGGAUUUAUUGGGCGUAAAGAGCGUGUAGGCGGCUAGGUAGGUCCGUUGUGAAAACUCGAGGCUCAACCUCGAGACGCCGGUGGAAACCAUCUAGCUAGAGUCCGGAAGAGGAGAGUGGAAUUCCUGGUGUAGCGGUGAAAUGCGCAGAUAUCAGGAGGAACACCGGUGGCGAAGGCGGGUCUCUGGGCCGAUACUGACGCUGAGGAGCGAAAGCGUGGGGAGCGAACAGG